rnacentral:rRNA from 1 species
GACGAACGCUGGCGGCGUGCUUAACACAUGCAAGUCGAACGGAAAGGCCCCUUUGGGGGUACUCGAGUGGCGAACGGGUGAGUAUCACGUGAGUAACCUGCCCUUGACUUCGGGAUAACUUCAGGAAACUGGGGCUAAUACCGGAUAGGAAUCCUUGCUGCAUGGUGGGGGUUGGAAAGCUUCGGCGGUUUUGGAUGGACUCGCGGCUUAUCAGCUUGUUGGUGGGGUAGUGGCUUACCAAGGCUUUGACGGGUAGCCGGCCUGAGAGGGCGACCGGCCACAUUGGGACUGAGAUACGGCCCAGACUCCUACGGGAGGCAGCAGUGGGGAAUAUUGCACAAUGGGCGGAAGCCUGAUGCAGCAACGCCGCGUGCGGGAUGACGGCCUUCGGGUUGUAAACCGCUUUCAGCAGGGGCGAAGCUUGUGGUGACGGUACCUGCAGAAGAAGCACCGGCUAACUACGUG